ensembl:lncRNA
CUCUACUAUGUUUCCGAGUAAACGUAUUAUGGAGAGAAAAAGAGCAACGAAAUUCAAAGUGCGGCCGACAGGACCGCGUCUGCACGCUUGAAGUACGCAUUUCAAGUGCGAUUACGUCACCGCCACGCGACGACGCCUGUCCCAAUUCAAAGUGCACUUCAAAUGCAUACUCCAAAUGCGCCGUCGAUUUCCCCAAAUAUCAAGCGUGGUCCGGUGGACACUUCGUGGUCCCAUAUAUCCCACAAUUCAUAGCGCGGCGGUGGGUGUGGAUAAUUUUUGUCGGCAGAAGGGAGCGGCCGAAGAGUGAACUGUCAAAAAUAUCUUCACGCAGCAGUGUCACUUCCUGCAUCAGUGCGGUCAUUCGGAGAAGUCGACUGCCCUGUUUCAGGCAAUGACUGACUUUACCUUCUUCAAGCCUGACAGCGUGCGAGAGCUGUCCACUCCGCAGCAGUCCAAGACGACCUGAUGGGAGAGAAGCUGAGGUUGAGACGUCUGGUUGGCUGCUACGCUCCUUUCCAGCAGCCAACACAGUCUAUACCCAGGUUAGAGAGAAGAUGGAAGAACUAUACUGCACGUUAACAGCUGAACAGCAGCUGAACAGCAGCAAGGAGGGUAAGCUCGCGAGAGCUGACGCUGACUCAAACAGGCCCUGUGCCAGCAGGGUAGCUGCUGAGUGUGAGGCGUUGGCCGUGCAGCAGGCGGCACUGCUAAAGUACCACAACAGCGUCGCUGUGUUUCCUCUGGUGACACUGAGACAAACGCUGACAUCGGCCCUCCCAGUCUGGACCACCAGCGUCCCUCUCUGGAGCAUUUAUCUACAGG